AAAUUGAAGAGUUUGAUCAUGGCUCAGAUUGAACGCUGGCGGCAGGCCUAACACAUGCAAGUCGAACGGUAGCACAGAGAGCUUGCUCUCGGGUGACGAGUGGCGGACGGGUGAGUAAUGUCUGGGAAACUGCCUGAUGGAGGGGGAUAACUACUGGAAACGGUGGCUAAUACCGCAUAACGUCGCAAGACCAAAGAGGGGGACCUUCGGGCCUCUUGCCAUCAGAUGUGCCCAGAUGGGAUUAGCUUGUUGGUGAGGUAACGGCUCACCAAGGCGACGAUCCCUAGCUGGUCUGAGAGGAUGACCAGCCACACUGGAACUGAGACACGGUCCAGACUCCUACGGGAGGCAGCAGUGGGGAAUAUUGCACAAUGGGCGCAAGCCUGAUGCAGCCAUGCCGCGUGUAUGAAGAAGGCCUUCGGGUUGUAAAG
rnacentral:rRNA from 1 species